UACGUAGGUGGCAAGCGUUAUCCGGAAUUAUUGGGCGUAAAGCGCGCGUAGGCGGUUUUUUAAGUCUGAUGUGAAAGCCCACGGCUCAACCGUGGAGGGUCAUUGGAAACUGGAAAACUUGAGUGCAGAAGAGGAAAGUGGAAUUCCAUGUGUAGCGGUGAAAUGCGCAGAGAUAUGGAGGAACACCAGUGGCGAAGGCGACUUUCUGGUCUGUAACUGACGCUGAUGUGCGAAAGCGUGGGGAUCAAACAGGAUUAGAUA
rnacentral:rRNA from 1 species